rfam:Ipomoea nil DNA, scaffold: scaffold2791, cultivar: Tokyo-kokei standard.
GACGGUUUGGCCGAGUGGUCUAAGGCGCCAGAUUUAGCCUCUGGUCCGAAAGGGCGUGGAUUCAAAUCCCACAGUUGUCA